AACGCGAAGAACCUUACCUGGGCUUGACAUGCUUGGAUUAUCUCCAUGAAAGUGGAGUAGGCCCUUCGGGGUACAACAAGUACAGGUGCUGCAUGGCUGUCGUCAGCUCGUGUCGUGAGAUGUCGGGUUAAGUCCCUUAACGAGCGAAACCUUUGCCCUUAGUUACCAGCGGGUUAUGCCGGGGACUCUAAGGGGACUGCCGGUGUCAAACCGGAGGAAGGUGGAGAUGACGUCAAGUCCUCAUGGCCUUUAUGCCCAGGGCCACACACGUGCUACAAUGGGGUGCACAAAACGAACCGAGAGCGCAAGCUGGAGGAAAUCGCUUAAAUCACCCCCCAGUUCAGAUUGGAGGCUGCAACUCGCCUCCAUGAAGUUGGAAUCGCUAGUAAUCGCGGGUCAGCUACACCGCGGUGAAUGUGUUCCCGGGCCUUGUACACACCGCGCAUA
rnacentral:rRNA from 1 species